rnacentral:rRNA from 1 species
CUCAGGAUGAACGCUGGCGGCGUGCCUAAUACAUGCAAGUCGAACGAACUUCCGUUAAUUGAUUAUGACGUACUUGUACUGAUUGAGAUUUUAACACGAAGUGAGUGGCGAACGGGUGAGUAACACGUGGGUAACCUGCCCAGAAGUAGGGGAUAACACCUGGAAACAGAUGCUAAUACCGUAUAACAGAGAAAACCGCAUGGUUUUCUUUUAAAAGAUGGCUCUGCUAUCACUUCUGGAUGGACCCGCGGCGUAUUAGCUAGUUGGUGAGGUAAAGGCUCACCAAGGCAGUGAUACGUAGCCGACCUGAGAGGGUAAUCGGCCACAUUGGGACUGAGACACGGCCCAGACUCCUACGGGAGGCAGCAGUAGGGAAUCUUCCACAAUGGACGCAAGUCUGAUGGAGCAACGCCGCGUGAGUGAAGAAGGGUUUCGGCUCGUAAAGCUCUGUUGUUAAAGAAGAACGUGGGUAAGAGUAACUGUUUACCCAGUGACGGUAUUUAACCAGAAAGCCACGGCUAACUACGUGCCAGCAGCCGCGGUAAUACGUAGGUGGCAAGCGUUAUCCGGAUUUAUUGGGCGUAAAGCGAGCGCAGGCGGUCUUUUAAGUCUAAUGUGAAAGCCUUCGGCUCAACCGAAGAAGUGCAUUGGAAACUGGGAGACUUGAGUGCAGAAGAGGACAGUGGAACUCCAUGUGUAGCGGUGAAAUGCGUAGAUAUAUGGAAGAACACCAGUGGCGAAGGCGGCUGUCUGGUCUGCAACUGACGCUGAGGCUCGAAAGCAUGGGUAGCGAACAGGAUUAGAUACCCUGGUAGUCCAUGCCGUAAACGAUGAUUACUAAGUGUUGGAGGGUUUCCGCCCUUCAGUGCUGCAGCUAACGCAUUAAGUAAUCCGCCUGGGGAGUACGACCGCAAGGUUGAAACUCAAAAGAAUUGACGGGGGCCCGCACAAGCGGUGGAGCAUGUGGUUUAAUUCGAAGCUACGCGAAGAACCUUACCAGGUCUUGACAUCUUCUGACAGUCUAAGAGAUUAGAGGUUCCCUUCGGGGACAGAAUGACAGGUGGUGCAUGGUUGUCGUCAGCUCGUGUCGUGAGAUGUUGGGUUAAGUCCCGCAACGAGCGCAACCCUUAUUACUAGUUGCCAGCAUUAAGUUGGGCA